UAUUGUUCAAGUUAUGAAUGUAGUAAGUCUGCAAGUGACACCUUUCCAUGUAACGAGAAGUUAAAGAUCAGCCAUCACUUUAUAACUUCUUUAUACGUUGACCUUGAGUUUCUCAGCUCCUUCUUGAAGCCGUAGUGAAACCACCAAGCCACCUGUGAAGAAGAUGAGUGCCAUCGUUUAAACGUUAUGGAUACUUCAGGGUAAACCAUCUGGAAAAGAUCUCACUUCUUUGCACUGCAACCCUCUGGGCUGCCGAUCUGGUAUAAUAAUGCUUGUCUUUAAUAUGCGGUUUUCACAAUUUUGCCCCAUCAGAAAUCAGUCCUCAGCCCCCCCUUGCAAACUGCGGGUAGUCACAACUGCCUUCCCAAGAGGCUACACUUCAAGUUGUGAACCUGUUGCAAUUGUCUUUCAUUUCUUUUUAAGGAUGUAUUCUUGUCCUUACGCCGUUAAAAAAAAAUAAUGAAUGGGUUUUGUUUCUUCACCAUCUCCAGGCAGAUUGGAAACAUAGGUUUUUUUUGCAAAACCUGAAUAUUUCUGAAAUUUAUACGCUUGUAAAAGCAAGGGCUUGUGAAAGCAAGGGUUUGUGAACUACUUUGCUAAUUUAACUCCCAGGUUGGUUAUCACUUGGGUGCUUCUACUUGUGUAUCAAUGUGCUUUAGUUAGUGUGCAUUAAAUCUAGUGCCUCUGGGCAUUUAUACACAUUUGUCUGCUCUGAUGUGCUGACACACAUUUUUAUACAAAUGUAUAUGUGAUGCAGUGCUGGGCACUUUUAAAAGUGCCGGGUGCUGUGUCACAUGAAUGUGUGCGUUUGCUCACCAUUAUGAUGCACUAGGAAAAUGCUCGUUAGCCUGUCUUUGUGAAAGAGCAUUUUUUUUAGUGAUGCUUUAAUGCACAUUAAGAGGCUAAACACUGUGCAGUAGCAUGUGGGGCAAAAACCGUGCUCACUAUAACGCAGUAGUAUUAGGCUACUGAGUAGUAAGCGCCACUAAAAUCCUGUGCGCCAGUGCUGCUGUGCAGUAGUGAGAAUUACUGAGCAUUGAUUUAACCAAGUACUAGACUAAAUGUGCAGUAACUAUGGUGCAUUAAUGAAUGUGUAGACAUGCCCACAGAGGACAGAUUUAUUACAGGAAACAUAGGCAAGGAAAACAAAGGUUAAUACCAAAUGCAAUUUAAAACACAGCCAACUACAAAGCGCAGUCUGUAGUUUGCAGCCCCUUUGGGGAGACUCCACCCAGGCCCAGGCAGUCUGAGACAUGGCAGGAGCUCACCCAAAGGGUUAAUUCCAGGGGGCCUGUGGUCCUAUACCUGCUGCUCGGCAGGAGAGUCCUAUAAGUUGCACCUUGGUGGGGAAAAAACUGCAAAAGAACUGAAAAGAAGGGGAGCCAGACCCAUCCUGGGUCCUGGGCCUGGCCCGCCGAUAGGCUCAGCUACCUAGCUAGGUGAAGACACAAGAACUGCAAGAGCCACAACAGGGGCCAGGCUCCAAAUCCUGACCCAUACCUACAAGACACUAAUCGUGGUGGUUUGCUCCAGGGAUUUAUACCCCUGCAGUAGUAUCCCACCCCAAACCCAGGAAAGCAAAGAGGGCACAAAGAAAGGGAGAGGAGAGGAGUCCCAGACUCCGAGACUCUCUCACUCCCCGUACCUGAGAGCUUCCCCGCACCUUGACUCCUCCAGUGGGGCCGUCCCUGGGGUCCCCCUCCAGCCUCCAGCUCCCUCUUCCUAUGUACCUGGUGUGAUAUCACCCCAAGUAUCCAAAAUCAGGGGUCAGCCAGGCCUUCAGCCUUUUUCUUUUAGCCAAUUAAUUUAAACAGGGCCACUGCCCAGUUUAAUCAGCUAGGCUAGGGGUCUGAUAACCCUUGCUUAUGUGACUGACCCCCCCACUCCCUUUGACUUACAGAAAAUAACAGGGAAUCCAUAGACAAGAGGCCUCACAAAAGCCACAGGUAUCUGCAUACGUGCAGCAUCUCCUGCCCCUCUCUCCAAGCAGGGGGAGAAAACAAGAUACUCAAAAAUAGACAACAUGGGUACAUGCAGCACAGCAGAAAGCAUAGAUAUAACCAUCAUACUUAACUAAAACCAUAUACAACACCACACUUUGCAAUAUCAAGUGACUUGUACAUUUAGUACGGGUUACACUUGGAAGCAGCAGCAGCAGCAAGAGGAACUUUCAGAGGCAUAGAAUAAAUCAGGAUCUAUCCAAUAUAUGCUGUUUUGGGAAAGAAAUCAGCAGAAAAAUUAUCGGUCCAGUGGUCUGAGCUCACACUUAGAAGCAAGGAGCUCCUGAUUUCAACUGCAACAGCUGCAUUUGGUUGGUUUGUUGCCUUGGCCACAUUGCUUAAUUGGAUGCCUGACGAGGUACCAAAGUUUGCAUACCUUGCCUUUGCCAUGUUUUAUCUUCCUCACCCAUAAAACAUAGAUAAUAAUGUAUAAACCCAACUGCCUUACAAGGAGGUGGGGAAGAUGAAUCCAUGCUCAUACAGUGCUUUGAAAAUGUUAAGUGCUGCAUGUUAUUGCUUUUAAGAAAUGAUUUUGAUUUUUGAAGGCGGAUGUGCCCAGAGACCCAUAAAAAGUGUUUAUAUUUUGAGAUCUAUCAAAUGCCAGGAGUGCAGACAUUGUAUAUCUGUUGAAGGCCAGUAUCAUUGCCAUAAGAUUAAGGAGGGGGCGAGGAAAACACGUGGACGCCAGCCAGGAAACUCAGCUAUCGUAAGGUAAACAGGAAUAAUCAACCCAGAACGGAGCAAAACCUCCCUACCAACAAAGCAGAGAGGCGAUCGAUUUGAAAGCAUGCAUUUGGGAUUCUUGAAGCAUGAUGACAAAAUGAGGGGGGCUAAUUAGGGCUGUGGAGAGGCUUUCCAAGCCAGGGCUGUGCUCAAGAGCAUCGUUCUACCUGCUGCAGCUCCAGAAACCAUGUUGUCUUCAGAGGUCAUGGGUAGCUUGAAUGCAUCUGGGGGUGCUGGCAGGUUGCACGGUGAGCCAUCAGCUAUGGGGCAACGUGCAUAUGUCCUUGAGAGCUCAUUGGGGAGAUGCUGCCCUUUGCAUAAUGUAGGAGGUCAUAUCCUGAGAGAUCAGUGGUGAUGGACUGCUUGGGAGAAAUGGGGAUCAUAUUUAUGCCACAUCCCCCAGCUCUUGGGUGUCUGCAUACUUGGUUCUGCCGAUCCUGUAAUGUCGUGCCUUGUUUGACUGUAUGAUGUGUAUAUGCCCUCAAAAUACAGCCAACGCAUGAACCCUAAUGAGUUCAAUUAGACAGGCAAUGCUUUGAGCCUACCUCUAAACUCAGUGGAAAGAGGAGGAGAGAAGAAGAGUUGGUGGGCAAAUUCACUUGCUCUAUCAUUUUUUAAAUCGAAGUCUGUGUAGUGGGGAGAAAGGAAGACCAAGAUGCAAAGAUGGGGGUUGGUCAACUUGUUCUUAUGUCAUUAAUCCAACCCUUCUGUCCCAUGGAGAAUCCCCCAAAAACUGUUUCCCAAAUGUUUCAAACCUAUACCUGAUUUGGGGACAGUAAAACUGCCUGAGGCUCCCUUCAUCUCUACUGUGGUGUGCAAAAGGCCAACCAGACCUAGAGCAGCUAUUUCAUAGACAUUUUCAUAGAUUUCAUAGACAUUAGGGGCAAGACCUCAUGAGAUCAUCCGGUCCAGCCCCCUUGCCAUAGGCAGGAAGUCAGCUGGGAUCAAGUGACCCCAGCAAGAAAUAGAUCCACCUGUUUUUUGAAAGAGUCCAGAGUGGGACACUCCUCUAUGCAAAAGCCUUGGCUAGUCCUUCACACAGCCUGGAAGAAGGUGGUCCCCACACUUCAGGAGCCCCUGGUCUCCUUGGGGUGCUGUAGGCCGUGAUCUGCAAGAAUGGCACCAUUGUACUGGAGGCGGUAGUGACACAAGGCUCAUUAUACAAGCUACCCCUUGAUCAUUUUAGGCCUGAGGAAUGAAUAGGGUGCAUGCACGAAGCCAUCCUGAGGAGAGAAGUCCACAAAAAGAAAUGGCAGACAAAGAAAGCAUUAUUAUUUCCAUUAGUCAAUUGGGGAAAAAUGAGGUCCAGAAGUGCGGUGAGACUUGGCCAAACCAUAAACAGACCCCUGAACUUGGGUGUCUUUCACAGCACAAUCCCAUCUCCCUAUCAAAUGUAUGGAUCUAUUUUCCUUUUUCCUAAAUGUUAACCUCUGUCUUUGCCCUCUUCUAAUCCUCACUCUCUUUCUUAAAGGAAAAUGUCAGUCAGGUAUAAGGGCUAAGCUGGACUUUCAAACUGAGGAACUUCAAUUUGAUUGUCCAUUCAUAUUAGCAGGAUGUUGGGUGCCACUGUUUUCCUGAUUUACAGGUUAGGAUGUUAUGUCUUGUGUUGUGUCAGGGUUGAUGGUAGUUUUAUGAGAAGUUUAGAUGAUGGAUUUAUAAAGGAUAGUUUGGGUAGGGCUGAUCCUGCCUCAGGCAAGGGGUCGGACUAGAUGUGACCUCCGGCAGUCCCUUCCAGCCCCACAUUUCUAUGAUUUUAUGAUUGAGCAGGUGAGCUCACUUAUCCUUAUCAGUGACUGAAUCAUUGAGACUGAAGCCAUGAGAAAUAUUUUUUGGUGCCAUCAAAUAGUAGAAUUGGAAGGGGUCUCAUGAGGUCAUCUAGCCCAGCGUCCUGCUCAAGGCACCAUCAUCCCUGCCUGAACCGCCCCAGCCACGUGUCUGUCUAACUUGGUCUUAAAAUCAUCCAAACUUCUUGAAGCAGGCUGUUCCAAUGCUUGAUCACCUUCAUAGUCAGACAUUUCCACUGCUUCUCCAAUCUAAAACAUCCUCCACUGCAGCUUGAGGCCAUUGCUCCUAGUCCUGUCCACUGUGACCACAGAGGAGAGUCUAUCUCCACCCUCCUUAUAAUCACCUUCAAGAUUUUGAAGACUGCUAUCAGAUUCUCCCUUAGUCUUCUCUUUUCUAAACAAAAUAAUCUUAGUUCAUUAAGCCUAUCCUCAUAAAUCAUAUUUUAAAGGCCUCUAAUUAUUUUGGUCACUCUCAGCUAGACUCAUUCUAAUUUGUCCACAUCUGUUUUGAAGGGAGGGGAACAAAACUAGACACAAUACUCUUGGGGAGGCCUCCCCAGUGCUGAAUAGAGGGAGAAUCACUUCUCUUGAUUUGCUAUUGGCCCUUUUUGCAACAAGAGCACACUAUUGGCUCAUAUUCAGCUUGUGGUCCACUAUGAUCCCUAGGUCCCUUUCUGCACUGUACCUCCCCCAGUCUAUUUGUGCAGGCAAUUGUUCCAUCCCUGGUGCAGGACCUUGCACUUCUUCAUUUGAAGUGUCAUCCAGUUAAUUGCAGAUGGUUUCUCCAGUUUGUCAAAGUCAUUUUGGAUCCUAGCCCUUGCCUACCUCUACCCAACUUGGUGUCCUCCACAAAUUUGCUAAGUGCACACUCAGUUCCAUCUUCCAACUGCUGAACAUUUAAUUAGGUGCCUACAUGCAAAUAGCUCUGAUUGACUGUCUGUCCAUAUGUAUCAACAUCUAGCCAAAUACAUGUUGGCAGGUUCCUACCCCCUGACCUGGGCAACAGGAAUGAAGCUAAGAUACGUAUUUCAGGGGCAGGAUGGAGGUAUCCAAAAGUCAAAGGAUGCAGACUAACCCUUGCCUAUUUCAAAAUUUCCCUUAACCAAAAGGGAUUUGGUUAAGAUGUCAGGCAGAAGGCAGGGCAGGGUGGCAUCUUGGAGCCUAGCUCGUUUAAAGGCACGAGUUUUUGUAGGCAACAACCUACUUUGCUAUGAUCUGAUGAAGUAGGUCAUUGCCUAAAAAUGCUCAGGUCUCCCUCAACCAGUAGGUCUCUAAGGUGCCCUUCCUUUUGUCUGACUUCUGACUAACAUGGCUAACUACCUCUCCACCAAGGUGCCAGAAAAUACCAGUGAAUGUUACAAGCAGAAAAGAGUACGAGACCAUUGAGUUCUGGCUGACUGCACUGACAACUCGGCGUUAAAAAUAGACAUGAGCCUUGUUUGUUAUCCAUAGCGAAGAGGUUCAUUUCCAACCCUAUGCUGCGAUGGCCAUAAGGUUCAGGGUAGCUUAUUUCAGAGAUGUGAGUUUCCCAGCAACAUUCGCUGAUGUGUGAUCACAAUACCGACCCAUUGUGACAUCAUGGGACCCAGGGCUUUAAGUAGCAGGAAGCCUCCAUGGGUCUCUUCACAAGCUCAGGCACCAUCCGAGCAGACAGGUUUGCUUGGCCUGACCAAGCCAUGAAAUUGCUUCUCCUGGGGUCUUGAAGCCACCAAAGAGAAGCAGUGAUGGCGAGAUGUGGAAGACAACACCUCCGCCAGCCCAGAAACUAUGGGCCCUUGAAGAGGAGACAGAGGAGGAGGAGGAGAAGAAGAUGCAGCUGGAAAAGGGCACCACUAAAGAAGAAGAGGGGUUACGUUCGUGUUAUGACCACCUAUUACUACUGGCCGAACUGAUACAUGUUCCCUGCCCUCCAGCCUGUCUUCCAAAGGUCAUCUCGUUGGCAGCCCAUUAGCCAUCAAGCCAUCCGCUUCUUCAGAAAGGCAACCAUGACCAUCACUUAAGACACCAAAAAACCACCCAGCCUAGUGACUUCCCCAAGACCCAGGAAGACUCCUAUCAUAGGAGAAAAGGCAUCAACCUGUCAGUAAACUUGUAAAAGGCAGCUCUUGUGUGGCCUAUAUUUAAUUUUGACAUGUUUUCCACUGUGAGGGUCUGUGUGGAUGCGUGCGUACAACUACACCUGUUCCCCUAUAGAAGGGUUGGGAAUUAUUUUCAACAAAGCAGUUGUGGUCCAGCCACGAAACCUGUUAGUGAAACAGCAUGUGUGGGGAAACGAGAAGUUCUUGCUUCAAAAAUGGAGGCCUCCAUGCUGAUUUACACCUUAGGAAAAAAAAACAUCUUGGGAUCAAACUCCCCUUUCCUUUAUGACACCAUCAUUGAUACCAUUGACAGCCAAAUAAACACGUGCUUCAAACAGGAGGGAGAGAAAAAAAUUAGUUGUCACCUACUCGGGGCUGGACCCGAUGAUCUCGUGAGACCCCUUCCAGCCCUAGUGUCUAUGAAACUAGGAACUUUAAAACAGUCCUCAUUGAAUUCAGGAGGUUUCCUCCCCUGGAGCCACUAUUCAUACCACCUGCUUCAGCUUUGCACCCUUUUAUUGGAGGGUAAGAAGCCAGAAGGUUUAUUAAACAAUCCAGGGCAUGUUUCACGGUUGUCUUUUGAUUUCUGGCUAAACUGCAAAAACACAGGCAAAAUUAUCCCUUAGCAGGCAUACGGCAAGAGACAAAUCUGACCCAUAUGGUGUAUCCCAUCACCCACAUAUUCAAUGAAACCAUAUGAAUAGCAGCAACAGAUAGGAAUAUGCAACACCCCAGACUCUAGGGCCCACUCUGAUCUCACUCAUCCCAUUUUUACAGCCAACUGUGCAGGUUUGUUACAGAUUGGUGCAGAUUUGGCAAUGCUAACAAAGUCAUUCCAAAUCUAGAAGAAGGUAUGGGAGAAGAGACUUCCCCCAGGCCAAUGGUCUUUCGAAGUUUUACUGUAACAGUGGGAGAGAUGAGAUCUUUGCAACUCACUUGAAGACAUCGGGUUUUCUAGAAAAAUGCAAAAUCUUUCCUUGUGCUGUUUCUUCACCUCCUCCAGAUGGAGGAAAUAAUCCCUCUGAAGAGCCUGUCCCUGACUAAAACUGGUUUAUCCCUUCAAUAAACUCUUGUCCAGGUGAGUGGUUUGCCUGUGUCAUACCAUGGGAGCAUUCUCCCAUGAUUCACCCUCCCACAUCCCUGCAAGAGGGAUGAUGGCUGGGCCCAUGGUAGACAAGAUGAGUAGGACUUCCCCUGAUGGAGGUUGCAUUAAUUUUAGGUGUCUCAGCCAGGGUUUAGCAGCCUGCAUAGGCAUUAGGGCUAUCUCCUUGGUCAUACAGAGCUUGACCAAGUGAGUUAACGACCUGGGUUUUGUAGCUGGGACUUUAUAUAAAAGAAGAACAGAACCAAAUUUACCUGAUCAGGCACAGUACCUUUUCAUACUCAUACAGCACAUGCUUUUUGUAGCAACAAUACUGUCUUCUAGCACCUCCCCUCUAUCUCUCCGACAGUCACAGAAGUUCAACUUUUGCUUCCACUGACCCCUUGCUGGGUUCUCCAACAAGCCCCUUUGUGCCUUCUCUCUGGCACCUCUAGCAUUUGGAAGAAACUCUCUAAACACCUGUAAAAUGUGUCUCAAUAGCCUUCUCUAAAUCAUCCCAUUUCCCCUGGACUCUUCCUUGCUGUAAGGCCUACAGAAAACAUGGCAGGACUUAGGCUUUUAUGUACUAUGGGGACUAUCUCAUUGAGUUGUCAGGGAUGCCAAGUUAUCACAGGAACAUCAGGUAUUAAAGUCAGUGCCGGUAACAUCUCCAGCCUCUGACUUCAUCAUCAGGCAUCAUCAGUGACAUCAAGCUGAGAGUGCAAUCAGCCAUCAGAUUCAUCUCAUGGUUACGCCCAGAUUUGCAAAGAUUUUGUAGGCAAUAUGGCCUGUCCUGGAAGAACAGUUUAUAGUCACUUCCCUUGGAGGAAAUCAGACAAUACGUCGUCCCACAAGUUCACUCAGGUGCUAUCAGCUGCAUGUCCAUGCAGGGUCUAGAGAAUUAAUGGGAUCGUUGUGAUUUAUUGGCAAUUUCUGGGAUCAGUUGCAUCUUUCUGUGGGUUCUAACUACACUCCGUUACAGGGAAGGAUUAAUUAAUCUCAUGGUUUUGACAGACUUGGCUAGCAUAGCUGGCUAGAAAUUACUGACUCGGCUGCAAUGGUGCAGAGAAGGACCUGGUGGUUGCUGUGGACCAUAAAUUCAAUAUGAGCCAGAUGGAGAUGGGCUUUUCUCUGUGGUCAUAGGGGACAGGGCUAGGAGCAGUGGCCUCAAGCUGCAAUAGGGGAAAUUUAGGUUGGAGAUUGGGUGGCACUUGUUGACUGUGAGGGUGGGCAAGCUUUGGAGCAGGCACCUAGAGACAUUGUGCACUCUCCAUCCUUGGAAACAAAUGCAGGUUAAACAGACACUUGACUGGGAUGGUUUAGUCAGGGAUGAUCCUGCUUUGAGCAGGGGGCUGGACUAGAUGUGACAUCAUGAGGUCCCUUCCAGCCCAAUUUUCCUAAGAUUCCUCAGACUAUCAGAGGAUAAAAAAAAACAUAUGCAUUGGAUUAUUUGUUGAUAUUUUGGGGGUGUUGAACCUUAUUGAAGUGUAACUGCUACACAGCGAGCCUGGUCCAUUGAUGGGAGGUCAAUUAGGACAUGCAAAGAAAUUAAGAAAUAUUAAUUAGAAAUAGCCACCUCCCAAUGCAAUGCCUUGACAUUGCUUCUUAUAGUUCUUCCUGCCUCUCACCUUUUCCUCUUUGCUAUUAUUGUUCUUUCUAUUCUCUGACAAUGAGGCAAGGGCUUUCAGGGCACGGCCAUACCUCCCCUAUCCUAUCCGCAUUGCUAGCCCUCGUUUUCAGCGUGUUUUUCUCCACCUUGCAACACAACACCCAGUGCAAACUCAGCUUUAUAACUUUUGGUGUCUCAUGAGAAUGGUUGGAUUCUGUCGGAGGAAGAGGCCAUUGUUAUACAAUCCAGCGCAACUGCAACACAGUUUCUAUAGCAACAGAAAAGCCUAUGACUGUUAUUUCCAUAUAUGGCAAUGGCUGACCAAUGUGAUGCAUCAUGGACCUACGCUGAGCCUGACAUGUCACAGUCAAUGGACUCUUGAGAUACGGACCAGCUAUGCUUCACCUCACCACCCAGGGAAGACCAAAACCCAGCAACCAAGAGAGGUGACGGGCUCCAUCAGAAGGUAGCAAUCCAGCAGCCAAGACCUUGAAAGGAGAAGAUGGCGAGAUACAGGCGAUACCACCGGCAUCGCAGCAGAAAAAGCAUCCACUUUCGGGAGCACGGGAGGCACAGGAAGCAGGGAAGAGGGAGAGCCAGGAGGAGGAGAGGCAGGAGAGGAGGCAGGCGCCACUACCAUUAUAGGAGGCGAGUGUUUUAUUGAUCCAUCAGCUGCGAUUCGGAAACAUGCCGCCGCCCCGACUGCAUUAGGAUUGCCACCUCUGGUGCAUGAAACCAUCUUGCUUUCUGGGAGCUGAAGGAGCCGUAGUCAACAGCCACCUGGCAAUAAACUGGGUUGGAUGAGUUUUGUCCUGCA